UAGUGUGCUAACGGGUGAGUAACACGUGGGCAAUCUGCCCUUCACUCUGGGACAAGCCCUGGAAACGGGGUCUAAUACCGGAUAAUACUCCUGCCUGCAUGGGCGGGGGUUGAAAGCUCCGGCGGUGAAGGAUGAGCCCGCGGCCUAUCAGCUUGUUGGUGGGGUAAUGGCCCACCAAGGCGACGACGGGUAGCCGGCCUGAGAGGGCGACCGGCCACACUGGGACUGAGACACGGCCCAGACUCCUACGGGAGGCAGCAGUGGGGAAUAUUGCACAAUGGGCGAAAGCCUGAUGCAGCGACGCCGCGUGAGGGAUGACGGCCUUCGGGUUGUAAACCUCUUUCAGCAGGGAAGAAGCGAAAGUGACGGUACCUGCAGAAGAAGCGCCGGCUAACUACGUGCCAGCAGCCGCGGUAAUACGUAGGGCGCAAGCGUUGUCCGGAAUUAUUGGGCGUAAAGAGCUCGUAGGCGGCUUGUCACGUCGGAUGUGAAAGCCCGAGGCUUAACCUCGGGUCUGCAUUCGAUACGGGCUAGCUAGAGUGUGGUAGGGGAGAUCGGAAUUCCUGGUGUAGCGGUGAAAUGCGCAGAUAUCAGGAGGAACACCGGUGGCGAAGGCGGAUCUCUGGGCCAUUACUGACGCUGAGGAGCGAAAGCGUGGGGAGCGAACAGGAUUAGAUACCCUGGUAGUCCACGCCGUACACGUUGGGAACUAGGGUGUUGGCGACAUUCCACGUCGUCGGGUGCCGCAGCUAACGCAUUAAGUUCCCCGCUGGGGGAGUACGGCCGCAAGGCUAAAACUCAA
rnacentral:rRNA from 1 species